rnacentral:snRNA from 1 species
UGCCUCAAAAGGAAUAAUAUUCUU